ACGUUCAGAACCAGAAAGGAAGGAAGAGAGAGAGAAAGAGAAAGAAAGAAGGAGAGAAAGAAAAGGAGAUCCGUCCAAACCAUCGACAUUUUGGAGAAACCUCAAGUUGAGAAAAAUGCUAGGAAGGUUGAGAUGAAGCUGCUACCAAAAUUUGGUGACAAUUGGAGAAGUUGGCCGCCUCGUGAACAGUGGUGCCGCGUGAAUAGUGCAGCGCGUGAAUAGUGACUUAAAUUCUGUGUUUAGCUAAUUAAAUCACAUAAUUGAGGACGACGUACCGAGCUAUUGCUCGAUGACGGAACUCGAAUGCGUGAUCGUCGGAAUAGUACCUUUGCAGGCUAGGUUAAUUGAGGUCGGGCGUACAUGGAGUCGAGGCAUAGCCAACAGCAUUGCUUCCGCGUACUCAAUUCUAUUUUUGUUUUCGUUAUUAUCUAGUGGGUUAGUAUUGCUCUAAUAAUCUAUGGGAUCAAUAUUGUAUUGGGGUUGAGACAAUUAUAUGUGAAUUGGAAGAUGUUGUGUUUUGGGGAGCAGGAUGGCUCCAGGAGAAUAAGGAUGGGUAAUUAGAAGUGUAAAUUUCCUUUUUCCAGGUUUUGGGUAGUCCAUUUUAGGGGAAGUUCUGCCAAAUGUUUGGAAGAAUUUCUUCUAAGGUGGACCCCGCAGGGCCACUUCGGACUUCGGGUCCUGUCAAUUUGAAUUGAUGCUUUAUGUUUAAGUUCUUUGAUUGCACCUUAGGGCGUUGCAUAUAGUAAUUGGAAGACAAAUUUCAAGUAGAGAUGCAAUAUAAUUUGAUUAGCUUCUUGUCAUUAAGUGUGGUAAAUUACAUUAUUCCUUGAGAAAGACUAAUGGUUUGCUUGAUUCCCUUGUUUUCUAAAGCGUAAUGAGUCUUGUAUGUUAAAUUUAUACCUGAGAAGGAUAAACUGCAUAGUAAGGGUAUAAGAUCUUUACCCGAGAGGGAGAGAAUCAUACACUUAAGGAAAACUAUGGUCUAGAGUACUUGAGAAGGACUUAGAUACGGGAAUUAUCAUCUAGAGAAACAAAAGAAUCUGUUAAUUACAUUGAAACAUA